GACGAACGCUGGCGGCGUGCCUAAUACAUGCAAGUAGAACGCACAGUUUAUACCGUAGCUUGCUACACCAUAAACUGUGAGUUGCGAACGGGUGAGUAACGCGUAGGUAACCCGCCUGGUAGCGGGGGAUAACUAUUGGAAACGAUAGCUAAUACCGCAUAAUAUUAAUUAUUGCAUGAUAAUUGAUUGAAAGAUGCAAUCGCAUCACUACCAGAUGGACCUGCGUUGUAUUAGCUAGUAGGUGAGGUAACGGCUCACCUAGGCGACGAUACAUAGCCGACCUGAGAGGGUGAUCGGCCACACUGGGACUGAGACACGGCCCAGACUCCUACAGGAGGCAGCAGUAGGGAAUCUUCGGCAAUGGACGAAAGUCUGACCGAGCAACGCCGCGUGAGUGAAGAAGGUUUUCGGAUCGUAAAGCUCUGUUGUAAGAGAAGAACGGGUGUGAGAGUGGAAAGUUCACACUGUGACGGUAUCUGACCAGAAAGGGACGGCUAACUACGUG
rnacentral:rRNA from 1 species